rnacentral:rRNA from 1 species
UACAGAGGGGGCAAGCGUUGUUCGGAAUUACUGGGCGUAAAGGGCGCGUAGGCGGCCCGCUAAGUCGAACGUGAAAUCCCCGGGCUCAACCCGGGAACUGCGUCCGAUACUGGAAGGCUUGAAUCCGGGAGAGGGAUGCGGAAUUCCAGGUGUAGCGGUGAAAUGCGUAGAUAUCUGGAGGAACACCGGUGGCGAAGGCGGCAUCCUGGACCGGUAUUGACGCUGAGGCGCGAAAGCCAGGGAGCAAACGGG